UGUGCCUUACCUCGGAGUAGUCAAUUAUCAAAGCGCCCCAAAGAUCAUCAAUCACGAGGCAAGCUUGAAAGUUUAGAGGAGGAGCAAUGACUGGGCCAUCGAUUGCAAUACUGCUGGCCCUUUUCCCUAAUGCCAAGCGCUUUUUUGAGCUCAAAACCCAAAGAGGUCAUCCAUCCCUUUUUAAUAUUUAGCCACAUCAGUGACAAUAGCCUACACACCGCCGCGCGCGUGACAUCAUCGCCUUAUUGAUAGGGGCUUUUGCAUCUAAGCGGCUACAUUUAAAGCUCCGUGACCUGUUUUGUUUCUGAAUUAACAAUUUCACCGCUUAUAGAGAGACCCGCUCAUCUAGUAGUGUAGAAUGAAUUCAGCUAACAACCGUCAAUAAAAUACCAUAAAGACGCGGCAGUUGUGUGGUUUUCAGUAUCUGUGGAACAGUUUUCAGAAUGUUUUCGGCAAAAACAAACAUGUUUGGUGAGAUAAAGAUAAGAGAAGCGAAAGGAGAAAAGUGGAAGCCGGUCGGCUGUGCGGAUUCCACACGAUAGAAGGGGGGAAACUCCAGCGGCCAGCUCUCUCCCUCCACACCGCGAUCAGAGCGCUGCGACGCACACAGCGGGCAGCAUGCCGACUCCCACUCUCUCCUCACUCUCUCACACACGCCUGUCGGGCUUUUCCCGGAGAAAAAAAAUUGCAUUUCCCCCUUGGUUCUGGAAGUAUUCACACGAUCAAGCAAGGUACCCAGGUAAUUACCGUACAUUGUCAAAUAAAGGCACAAUAAAGGGACUACUGAUUCAAAUGAGGAGUGAAAUAUCAAAGAAAGGGGUUCCCUUUGCAGCCAGGCACUUAUCCACACAGGAGACAGCAACGAGACGACUGCCACAGGGACACUCACACAGCCUCUGAUAACAACAUGCUCAGACUCCUUGGUACAUAUAUCACACCACAAUAUUUUGCACACAGAAGCAUUGCACCACACUUACGUAUUCUCAGAGUCUCACUUCAGCUUGAUGACUGAAAUGUAUUUUAAUAUCAUUAAAAUGCUGUGAAUAUAGCAGUUUAAAAAAGACAUAAUCUGUGUAUCAAUUAAAUAGGAAUGUGUUGUAAUUGUUAAAAUUGUUCAGAUUAUCAUAUGAAGAGGUCUAAAAAAAUGCCAGCAUUUAAAAACUAUUAGGCUGCAAUUAAAGUGACUAUAUAGUGUUAAGCAUUAUGUUCAGGAUACUGCACCCUUCAUAAAUACUUUAUAUUCUGCAUUAAUAGUUUUCUCUCUGAUAUCUCAUGAUAUGACAUAAAAAAAAUCUCUUGAAGAAACUGAACUUCCACAGUUUUGCUUCUUUGGACAAAAAAAUUAAAAUACAUCACUAUUUCGUCUAUUUUCAUUUUAAAUAUUUACUUAGAUGUAGCUGUAUAAUAUAUAACUUGCUUGAUCUUGUUGAUCUUAUGAUAUGAUGUAAAAUAAUGAUGCAAUGAAGGAAAUACAUUUGUGGUUGGUGUGUGAAAUGGUUGGAGGCAAAAUCUGGCCUCCAAGAAUGUGUAAGAGUUUAACAUUAUAAAUACACUUUCCCUCCCUCUAGCUUACAGACAGCUCCAAGGACUAUUUUACAUGUAAAUAUUCACUCAGAAAAAAGCCAGAUCAUUAAUUAUUGAGAGCCAUAAAGAAGUGUAAUACUUCAGUGUUAAACACAUGCAUCUGAUAUCUCAUUAGAUGAGGCUGAGGAUGAACUCAAAGAAGGAAAUCUAUUCUUCAAAUAGUCCAGGACAUAGAUAAGAUGAUACAAAAUGGUGGAUAUUCAGAGUAGUAUCAUUUUGCCUUUCUGGAUUUCAGAUUGCAAAUCAGGGUUAGUGCUAGACUAAAGCUAAUUUAUAACCAGGAAAUUUUAAUAGCAGUCUAAUAUAGGUUGUGUAUUCUUUUCUUUUCUUUUUCUAUAUUUACUCAAGAUAGACUUAAAGAAAUGUUUUCCAUCUACAAAGAUAUCUACCUUCCUACUGUGUAUUUGAAAAACUGGGCCUUGACGGAUUUUAGGAAAUGAAAGUAAAUAUUUAUUAAUGUUAAAUGUGUUACACUAGAUAGCUGGUCAUGUUGGUGUUAAUGAUAUAACAAUAGUUAUUACAUGCAGAAAACAUUCCUUGAUAGAUGAGCUCACUGAGAUGACAUUGAAUAUUCAGAGACAGAAGCCUGGCAUUGACAUCUAUAUGAAUCUAUGGGCUAUGUGAAUCUAUAUGGCCAGGAUACUUGAUAGUCUUUCAUACUUUUCAAAAGUUUAAAGUUUUAAAAAACUUUCCCCAUGUAUGACCAGGCAGGCUGCAUUCUGGCACCCAUCUUCUCUCUUACAUUAUGGCCUGUGGCUGAGCUCUUGACAGGUUGUCACAAGGUGAUAGGACUCAAGUGGAGACACUAGAAAGGUGGCACUUAAGAGCACAAGGAGUUUGAUUUCCGGGUGUGCCAUGGAGCCUGACAGUGGAUCAGCCCUUGAAGGAGUGCACUCACACACCUGAGUGAGUGGAAUGUUCCAUAAAUGAGAGUUGUGCUUUAGAUGUAACAGUGCCGACAAACGAAAGAACUGGCAAGAACUAAGAAAUGUAGAAUUUCAUGCAAAAAAUUCCCCUGAAGUGGUUGCCCCCAACCCCCCCCCCUUUUUUUUGUAAAACCAAGUUAGUGAGUGGAAAGUUUUCUGAGAGUCCUGAUACAGGUAGGCUCUGUUCUGUAAUGACUGUUCUGUACAAAUGUGCAAAUAUGUUCACAAUAAAAUAAAUAAUUUUAUGAAUUACA